UGUAGUGGGUUGUUGUUGCGUCACAAUGGCGUAAUAUAAACGGUUCGCUGCGUCUCAUUUCGAAUCAAUUCGAUGGUGAGAAGUGAAAUGCAAACCCGCACUAAGCACUCUGAACUGAUCUGCGUCGCAAAUUCGUAUGUACCAUCGAGUUAAUUUUUUGUAUGAACUAGCGAUUCGGUCCAGCUUCGCUCGGGUUAAACUAUAAUAAAUUAUACACUUAAAGCUUCCUCAGAAAUCAGCUAUAUCUGAUAUACAUAUACAAUGUUACUGGUAACAAAACCUCCUAAAGACUACUUAAUAGGUACAUCAAAACAUGCAACUUUUAUUCUAAACUUUUCGUGAUUCGUAGUUUCUUUUUCAUUUAAAAAUAAUACAGAUUCUACAAAUCUUAACUAUGUAAUAGCCAAGCAACACAAGGUAUAUAGCGGAAUCGAACAUAGAGUUAACGUUUUAUAGAAACGACAUUAAAACUAAAAAAAGGAUUUUUUUUUGUAUUUAUUACAUUUAGACAAAAGUCGUAGAACAAAAGAUGUUUAUGAGAAGGGUUUCAGGAGUGUAAGAAAACGAGGUAGUCUCAUAUAAAGUGUAUUGUCUGUCACACACACAGGAGGUUACAAAAUACAAAAGGGUUCGGAAAAAUCCCUUAAAUUUAUAAAAGUCGCGAUAGAUAUGGGAGCGCCCGGAUCGGGGCACAACAGUGUAGGUACGCGGAAGAUGUGAAUAGCUUGCCGGUUAAUGGCUGACUGCCGAGAUGUACGGAGGUUUACUAUAUGUUAGUAAUGUACCUUAUGCGCCUUUGGAAGGUUAUGCGUUAGAUACAUUUAUAUUUAAAAAAUGGUAAGCCCUUCUGGCAUAAUAGGGACCAACACUGUUUGAAUGAGUUUCUUUCGGCAUUUCUUCUCAGCAGUGGUCGUUCCGAAAUGCUAGUAGUUUGUAGCUUUGGUAAACAUCAUUUAAUUUAGAUUAUGACGUGAAAAAGUGCCUGUGAAGGCCUAAUUUCUGAAUAAAUGAUUUGAUUUUGAUUUUGAUUUGAUACCAGUAACCCUGUAUAGUAAUAUAUAGUAAUAAAGGAUAUUGUGGUUUGUCUACACGGGCGACGGAAGUUUGUAUAGCACUUUAAAGAAAACGAACGUGUGUACGGGAUGAUUGUUUAAUUCCAAAUAACUAGCCUAGUCUCAUAACAAGUUUUUUAAAUAUGCAUCUACUACAAGCUAUUUAAUCGAUAUAAUAAUAUACAUUUUGAAAUGUUUUUGUUUAAGUAAUCGCUUCUUUCUUUAAACUCGUCUAAGAACGAUUAAGGAUACAUAUGUAAUGUUGAACCGAUCCCAGAGGUCGUGUCAGCGAGCUCGCUGAUAACAAACGAACAGACUGUCUGCGUGUCCACUAUUUCUACUGCCCGAAUACCCGCGACUUACGAAGAGCCUUCUUACAUAUAGGUUAAACCAAGAAGAAUAAAUGCAAAGGAGUUACGUACUCUCGAAGAAGAGCGGUCGACAGUGGGUUGCAGUGUGCAGCGCUGACGGGGCGAGUGCUCCAAGUGCCUGGUGAGAUAGCCUCCGUGGUCUUCGGCGGCUCGGCGCAUAUAGUCAGCGGAGGCAUCUAUAUAUUUACCACUAUUUAUCUGAUCAUGGCAAGAUAUAAAUCGUGCGUUGUCUUGGUGUUGCUCGCUUUGCUCUUCUUCCCAUCACCACUCAGGUGCACAGAGUCCCGAAGUCGACACAAGCGAGAUAUUGGGAAUGAUCUUUCGCGUUUCAUAACAAAUAUAUAUAACUAUUUUUAUAAACAAAUUCUCAGAUUUUCUAAUUGGCUCCAGGGCAGACUAGUACCAAAUCCCCCGCCUGCGAAGACGACGCCCCCGGGGCCGUAUAGGAGGUAGCGACAGGAACUGUAAUUAUACUAGUUGUUCGCCGCGAUUCAUCAAAAACGACUUAACCGAUUUUGUUGCCCCACGAAUUUAAAAAUUCUAUUGACAGAUCCUACAUACCUAUCUUUUAAAUUUCAUCAAAAUCAGACCAAUGGUUCGAAAGUUAUAGAGUUACAAACAAACAUACAUACAUACAAAAAAUGUAUUUUUGCACCAAGUUGAUUUGUAGGCCUCGCUCGCUCGGUCUAUGAAAUAUAUUACUAUCAAAUAAACGAA